AGAGUUUGAUCAUGGCUCAGAUUGAACGCUGGCGGCAUGCCUUACACAUGCAAGUCGAACGGUAACAGGUCUUCGGAUGCUGACGAGUGGCGAACGGGUGAGUAAUACAUCGGAACGUGCCCGAUCGUGGGGGAUAACGAGGCGAAAGCUUUGCUAAUACCGCAUACGAUCUACGGAUGAAAGCGGGGGAYCUUCGGACCUCGCGCGGACGGAGCGGCCGAUGGCAGAUUAGGUAGUUGGUGGGAUAAAAGCUUACCAAGCCGACGAUCUGUAGCUGGUCUGAGAGGAUGAUCAGCCACACUGGGACUGAGACACGGCCCAGACUCCUACGGGAGGCAGCAGUGGGGAAUUUUGGACAAUGGGCGAAAGCCUGAUCCAGCCAUGCCGCGUGCAGGAUGAAGGCCUUCGGGUUGUAAACUGCUUUUGUACGGAACGAAAAGCCUCUUUCUAAUAAAGAGGGGUCAUGACGGUACCGUAAGAAUAAGCACCGGCUAACUACGUGCCAGCAGCCGCGGUAAUACGUAGGGUGCAAGCGUUAAUCGGAAUUACUGGGCGUAAAGCGUGCGCAGGCGGUUUUGUAAGACAGAGGUGAAAUCCCCGGGCUCAACCUGGGAACUGCCUUUGUGACUGCAAGGCUGGAGUGCGGCAGAGGGGGAUGGAAUUCCGCGUGUAGCAGUGAAAUGCGUAGAUAUGCGGAGGAACACCGAUGGCGAAGGCAAUCCCCUGGGCCUGCACUGACGCUCAUGCACGAAAGCGUGGGGAGCAAACAGGAUUAGAUACCCCGGUAGU
rnacentral:rRNA from 1 species